AAGUCUGUGUGCAGUGUCACGUGUGUGAAGUGUAAUUCGCAUCACAGUGACUCUUUGAUUUAACAGCUCUGUGAAUCAGGAGGUGUGUGUGUGUGUGUGUGUGUAUGUUACUCUGCUGUACAGCUUUAUGAAGAUUUUCGUUCAUCACCGGGAGAGAGCUGCUCGAGCCGCGCGCGCGCCCGCUGCUGUCCCGCUGGGCGUGUGUGUGCGCUGAACGGGAAUUUAAAUCGGGAAUUUUAAUCGGGAAUUUGAGAGGAUGUGGAUGUGGGUUUUGGGUUGAGACACAAUGAAUAAAGACAUCCAGUAGACUACUGAGUCUUCGACACAUGGUUUGCUUUGCAAGAAUGUCCAAGGUCCGAGUUCUUCUUUUUCUCGUAAAGCACUUCGUGUUUUCUCUUCUGUCUGCGAGCAUCACUAAAGGUCACAGCACAGGCAGACCAGAGGUGCCGUUACCCACUGAGGGAGUGUCAUAUGGCAGUGGCCUUCACUCUGUGCUGCAGGAUUCGGUCUCACCAGCCUUUGGUGCCACCAUCAUAAUUAUCGUCACCGUGAUUGUGAGUGGAAGUGCCUACCUCUGCUUUCUCAAGUAUGUUUGUGCUGGCUGCUGCAAACCCACACAAGUGGCUCCUGUCAGUAAUACGAACCCCAACAAGAGUGAGGAGCAAGUGUAGUGAGGACUUUGUUCAAAAGCUGCUAUACAAUAUUAUUACAAUUACACUUUUAACCCCAAAUCCCAUAGGGCACUGAGGCUAUGUCAAUGGAGAGAGCAUAAAAACGAAAAGAGAAAGCUAAUUUGGGACUGCUGAUCUCUUUCUAACACUGAUUUGAAUAUAUUUCUUUAGCAAAUCUGUACCAUUAGAGAGCAUUACUUCCACAGCAAUUAAUUAUUGUUCAUGUUCUGUUAACUACAAAGGAGUGGAUUCUUCUCUACAGAUUUAAAAACAAGGGUAAUGCAAUAUAUAUUAAAAUAUGUAGAGAAUCAUCAUAUCUCUACAUAGCUUAUCAUAUUCUUAUCAGUUCUUAUAAAUACCAGUCAUGUAAAAUUUAAGAUAUAUACAGUAGGUUAUUUAUAUACAUAUUAUACAAUAUUAGUGGUAUGUUCAGUUAAAUGUAACUUAGACUGGUGCAGCAAACAACAGAGACUGGUGCUUGUUCAGUGUAUUUUCGUGUCAUGAUUGCCUUUUUUCACAACAUGAUUCAUCAUCAAAAAUGUGGUGAUUUAAGUGUUGGCAUUUUGUGUUUGUUGACAUUAAUUAACGUUAAAUUGUAACGUUAAAUUUGAUUGUGCUUAGCCUUCAGUAGUUUGUUAAUGUAAUGUUCAGAAACCUGUUGUAUCUGAUCUCACUUGGAUUUUUUUCUAUAAAAGGUCGCAAACCCUGUACUUAAAAAUCUAUAAGACAACACUUUUUAGCUUUACUGUCAUAGUAUCACAUUAAGGCUAUAACUAUUUUAGAAUUCAGUACACCAUCACCCUUAUUGAAAAGCAGUGAUCUCUGAGUUUGAAAUGGAAAUAUGGACUAUUCCAAAGAGCGAUUUUUCUAUUGUUUAUGGACAAAAAAAAAAAUCAGCAAUUAGUAUAUAAAACACAUGCAGCGAUUGAUAUUUGAGGCUUCUUUGAGGGAGAGUUGGCUAUAUUGCUUUAUUAUAUCAAAACAGUUUUUCAAAUAUACCAUUGUAGCAACACUUAGAGAACACAGGCACUGGUCAGUCAGUAAAAUAAUGAAAAAAUGUUCAAAACAAAGAAUGUUGCAGAAUUCCUACCCUGUUUGUUUUGAAAUGCUAUUUGCUUCCAGCUCGUUUGCCACUUUCUGCUUGGCCACACACAUGCGCUCAGCUCACUGCUCAACGAGGGAGAGAAACAGAAAGAAAGAUCACAGACAGAAAGGCUCAGGGGUGCCAUGUUAGUCAUUACCCCCUUAGCUCGUCCCCAAACACUUUCCUCCCAGAGCAGACCCACGCUAAAUCACGUCCCCACCUGCUACAAUUGCUUAUCAUGAUACUCGGCAUAAUUAAUGAUGCCAUUAAUCUUCAUUAAAGUUUAUAAGGCCUGCCAGCCACAAAACAGCCCCAGUGGGGUUUUUCUUUGUACCCUUUUUUUAAACCCAGGAUACAGAUAGUAUUCAUGGCUAAAAUGUUUGAUUUUAGUAUCGUCUGACCAGAAAACAAGAUUCUAACUGUAGUUCCAAUGAGGCUUUGUGAAGUGAACUUCUUUUGUGCAAAUCUGUACACAAGUGUCCUCUUCCUAGCAAUUCUUUUAACCCCGAUAGCACUGUAGAACUGUUUGUGUAUUAUUUAUAUUUAGCAUCUGUCUUUUUUAUUAUUUAUGACUCUAUUAUUUAAGUGUUUUCAUCCUUGUGAUGGAUGACAAACAGAUAUAACCUCGUGUGCAACCUCAUGAUUGGUCAAAAGCAAUAAUACAGGGGACUGGGGACCAUGUAUUAAGCUGUUUGUGCCAGAUUUCCGUCGUAAUUAUGCCACAUUCUGUGCAAAGAAUUCUGUAUGUAAUGUAAGAAACUGACGUAUAAGCCUAAAUGUACAGUUUAUGCAGGGCUUCUCUCCCUCAUCAGGAGUGGGUAGUCAGUACAAAAAAGGGUAUAGAAAUGGAAAGUGCAGCUGAUUGUGUUUAAUUUACUAAACUCUGGACAAUUAGCAGUGGCCAGUUUUGUGUGUGAAUUGUGUAAAUUGGUGCCAUUCGUGCUGUGCAGAAGGCAAUAUAGAUAAUGCCUGGGUGCGUGCCUGCAAAAACUGAAUACUUUUGGACUGCUGAUGCAGGUUGUUUUCAUUAGCAUAAAUACUAUUUUUAUUCAUUAGCAUAAAUACUAUUUAUUAAUGACAAAAUAUAUCCUAAUGUGAGAUCAUAUUAGGACCUUUGUGGAAGAACUGUUCAGGCAAAAUACUCAUUUUAAUGCUGCUUCUCCAGUAGAAGCAUUUGUGUAGAUAUCACUUGUCAGUUGCCCGUAAUUCUGGAGACUGUAAUUAUGCUUUUAGUAUGCUGUUUCAUUUUGUGAUAAAUAAAUCUGGUUAAGAGAUUGGCUCAGUAUUUCCUUAAUUUCUCAUUUCAAGGUAAUUCCAUUUGAAUUAUAAUGCAUGCCAUACAGAGUAAAUAAAAACAACUCUUAAAUUCAAAUACUGCUCAUCUGUCAUUGGUUGUACCUGUAUUCUGAGUAUUAUCAUAAUCUAAGUGGCAGUUACUUCAAAAUGUUAAACCAACAGGGGUCAUUUUACAGAGCUUAUAAAUAGGUGCCAUACUUCUGGCUACAGAGAUAUAAAGGAGGCAGUAGUGCACAUUUGGUUACAUGUACGAAAAAUACAAUGAAAAUUUGUUCCUUUUCAAUUCCUUCUAGAUGGUUUCCUUCAUAACUACUGGAGUAUUCAUUUCCAUUUGCUUGUUUCCUUGCCGAGUACCAACAGCAAAGUCGUCACCUCAUAACCAUGUGUUAUGACUGAAGUCAGAAGCCUAUUAAAGGUUCCUAUCUCUCAGCCAGUGUUCAACUCCAAUGGGAGAGAACUGCUUCCAUCAGAGAAGAAUUCACUGUCAGGCUAAAAAGUUACAGAAUGCAAGAAUAUCAGAUUGUGAUGUGGAAAUGUAAACAUUCUGAGGAUAUCAAAAAACGUAUUAAAGUAUUAAAGAAAACAGGUCAAAACUGAAUUGUUCAAAUGAGGCUAGAAGGGUACAAAUCCAAAAGAUAUGGGGUAAAAUUGCUGGGGUUUGCACUUGAGAUUAGAGUUAAUCUUGGCAAGUUUAGCCUUCGUACAAUAAGCACGAUGAACAAAUUUCAUGUUUUAAUAUCAUGUUUACACAUUACAACUGAGUAUGGACCCCUCUAACUGCCAGUGGAUUGUAGACUUCCUGGCAGACAGGAGGCAGUUUGUGUUGCUGGGUCCCUACUAAUCAGAACCCCUAUCCAUCAGCACCAGUGCUCCACAAGUCUUUGUACUCUCACCUCUCCUUUACACCUUGUACACCAACAUAUACACGUCCAGCAACCCUUACAUCAAGCUGCUCAAAUCCGCGGAUGACACAACCCUACCUUGCCUCAUUAGCAACAAUGAUGCAUCUGUCUACAGGAGGGAAGUGGCUCGUCUGGCAUUGUGGUGCACUAAAAAACAAACCUUCAUAAGAACACACCUCUCCAUCUCCCCCAGGAAAUCAACAAUAUUGCAGUGAGUAAGGGAGAGUUGUUCAAAUUCCUAGGCACCAACAUCUCCAAAAAUCUCAAAUGAGAAAUAAUCAGAACAAUAACCAAAAAAAGCUCAUCAGCUAAUGUUUUUCUACUGAAGUUUUUUCUGCAGAUCUACCAUCGAGAACAUCUUAAUUUCAUUGAUAACCGUGUCGUUCAGCUCAGCACCUUCCUGCUUAAAGCCAGACUGCAGAGAAUUGUGCACCCAGCAGAACAUCUGACUGGUCACCAAGCAGUUGUCAGUCCACGAGCUGCAUGACACUGAGGCCAAGAAGCGACCUGGAUCUUACUCACCUAGAAAACUGUCUGUUUCAGAAACUCCCCUCAGGUUAACAGUACCGCUCCAUCAGAACCAGAACCACACAAAAUCUAAACGUUUUUUUCUCAACAGCAGUCAAUCUCAAAAGGCUGAAUACCCCUUGUAUUUGUUUUGUAUUUACUGUGUUUAUUGUAUUAUGACACACUUUACCUGUUUGCCUUAUUACAUGUUCUUGCACUGAUCUGUUAAAUUCCUGUGUACUUUGUACAUUGGGAGAAUAAAG